rnacentral:lncRNA from 1 species
AAAUUUUAGUGGGUGUUUAUUAAUUUUUUCUAUCGAAUAUAUAAAAUUGAGCUCCUACACUUUUAAAAGUAUUAAGUCAUUAGUGUUUAUAGGUUUUCGGCUUUAAAUUAAAAAAUGUGCGGUUAAAAUGAUAGUGGUUUUCUAGAGUUGAGUGGGUGGUUGGUUAUAUAGUAUAAUCUAACGAAUAGAAACGAUAAAACAGGUAAAUCUAAUAGCAGAAAACUUAUAAGCACCAAGUGCUUGUUACAAGUAAUUAUUUCCUACUGUCUACAUACAGUUUUUCUUUUUUCCAAAGAAAAUUAAACCUUACUAAAAUACAAACA